CUUCACCGAACCGAGCCACAGCGGCCGGUCGGCGGAUCGGCCACGGCCGUACGUCGCCAGCAGCGCCUGCGCCUC
rnacentral:antisense_RNA from 1 species